GCUCUUGAACACUUGGUAGCUCAGUCGGUAGAGCGCGAGACUCUUAAUCUUAGGGUUGUGGGUUCAAGCCCCAUGUUGGGCA